GUUUCGCUGUGGCCCUCCACUUAACAAAGAGGCAGCAUUUCUGUGAGUGUCUUGCAACCCAACAGCAAAUACUGUGCUAUCAGAGGGACUUAGGUUCACCUUGCAGCUGUGAUUUUGUCAGUCAAAUAAAUGUACAGGAAUGGAUCCAAAGAAUAAUUCAUGGGAAGAUAAAUAUAGUGCUGUUUCGCUGCGUGUUGGUGGUGCAUGCCUUUAAUCCCAGCACUCCCGAGGCAGAGGCAGGAGGAUCUCUGUGAGUUCGAGACCAGCCUGGUCUACAAGAGCUAGCUCCAGGACAGCCUCCAAAGCCACAGAGAAACACUGUCUCGAAAAACCAAUAAUAAUAAUAUAAAUAAAUAAAUAAAUAAAUAAAUAAAUAAAUAACACAGUUUGGAGCUCAGCUGUUCAGUUUCGUAAACGGAAGGAUCUGGGAGUCUUUCAAUCUUAUGCUAACUUUGACGUGUCUUUUACACUGCCAGAUUGAGCUUGCAUCAGGAUUCUGGGUGAAGAGGACCUAACUCAUGAACCUGCUCAGUGAUAAUACUCCAAAAAAGUGCAAUAUUCCAGCUUCCACUGUAGAUAUGCUGUCAGUACUAUGGCUUUGUACCUAUCUUCAUGCAAAGCUUCUCUCUCUCCAUGUUGUUAACUCAAAAUCAAAAUGCCGAAAGGGACACAUUUCCUACCCUGGAACAAACAAAUCAAACAGAACAAAGGAAUUCUAGAGGGAGUAGAGCUGGACGUCCUGGUGUGACAGAAGUUCAAUCAAACAGAAUUGAUAAGAAAGGUCUUAAAUUAUCUCUAUUGACUGAAACUGGAUUUUACAACUCGACAUGCCCAAAUAGACUUGGAGCCACAGUAUCCCAGAGACUUAUUUGAAAAUUUCAGGAUAUGAGUAUGAAAAGCACCGUGUUAGAAAUGAAGAUUUCUCUAUGAUGUUGGAGAAGACUCUCCUGUACUAUUCCUUUUUACCCUCUUUCCCAGUAAUAACCCUGAAGGCCCCUCUCAGUCUCUGUGCUUUGAAAAUGGUGUUACACUCAGUGCGCACAAAGUGGUCCUGAAGAGCCAUGGUCUUUCACUACACAUUCGUGCGACCCAGGGAGGAGUAUUAAAAAAGUACGGAAGCAUCCCUGGAAUUCUAGAGAUAACUUUGUGGGAACCAAGUGAUCUUUCUAUCUCCCCAGCAUGGAAACAUGUUUUCAACUGUAACACAUCGUGUAAGUCCACCUGAGGGAAUUCAUUCCAUCCAGGACUCAGCCAUGCUUUCAAACCAAUUAAGAUGAUGGACUGUGCAUUUAAUACAUUUUUCCAAUUGUAAAAGAAAAUAUGUAUUACGAAGCAACAAAUCUCUACAUUAUACAUUUUAU
rnacentral:lncRNA from 1 species